rnacentral:rRNA from 1 species
CCUACGGGCGGCUGCAGUGGGGAAUAUUGGACAAUGGGGGCAACCCUGAUCCAGCCAUGCCGCGUGUGUGAAGAAGGCCCUCGGGUUGUAAAGCACUUUCAGUGAGGAAGAACGCCUGGUGGUUAAUACCCAUCAGGAAAGACAUCACUCACAGAAGAAGCACCGGCUAACUCCGUGCCAGCAGCCGCGGUAAUACGGAGGGUGCGAGCGUUAAUCGGAAUUACUGGGCGUAAAGCGCGCGUAGGUGGCUUGAUAAGUCGGUUGUGAAAGCCCCGGGCUCAACCUGGGAACGGCAUCCGGAACUGUCAAGCUAGAGUGCAGGAGAGGAAGGUAGAAUUCCCGGUGUAGCGGUGAAAUGCGUAGAGAUCGGGAGGAAUACCAGUGGCGAAGGCGGCCUUCUGGACUGACACUGACACUGAGGUGCGAAAGCGUGGGUAGCAAACAGGAUUAGAUACCCCGGUAGUC